rnacentral:rRNA from 1 species
GAUGAACGCUGGCGGCGUGCCUAAUACAUGCAAGUCGAGCGAACGGACGAGAAGCUUGCUUCUCUGAUGUUAGCGGCGGACGGGUGAGUAACACGUGGAUAACCUACCUAUAAGACUGGGAUAACUUCGGGAAACCGGAGCUAAUACCGGAUAAUAUUUUGAACAGUAUGGUUCAAAAGUGAAAGACGGUCUUGCUGUCACUUAUAGAUGGAUCCGCGCUGCAUUAGCUAGUUGGUAAGGUAACGGCUUACCAAGGCAACGAUGCAUAGCCGACCUGAGAGGGUGAUCGGCCACACUGGAACUGAGACACGGUCCAGACUCCUACGGGAGGCAGCAGUAGGGAAUCUUCCGCAAUGGGCGAAAGCCUGACGGAGCAACGCCGCGUGAGUGAUGAAGGUCUUCGGAUCGUAAAACUCUGUUAUUAGGGAAGAACAUAUGUGUAAGUAACUGUGCACAUCUUGACGGUACCUAAUCAGAAAGCCACGGCUAACUACGUG